AACGAACGCUGGCGGCAUGCUCAACACAUGUACGUCGAACGAAGGCCUUCGGGAGACAGCGGCGCACGGGCGCGUAACGCGUGGGAAUGCGAGCUAUGGCUCGGGAUAACAGCUGGAAACGACUCCUAAUACCGGCUGGAACCGCGAGAUGAAAGGUUUAUCGCCUGAGGAUAAGCCUGCGUCGGAAUAGUUAGCUGGUGGGGGAAAGGCACACCAAGCCGACUAUCCAUAGCUGGCCUGAGAGGAUGGUCAGGCACGCUAGAACUGAGACAAGGCCCAGACUCCUACGGCAGGCAGCAGUGGGGAAUAUUAGACAAUGAGCGCAAGCCUGAUCCAGCAGUGCCGCGUGAAUGAUGAAGGCCCUAGGAUUGUAGAACUCUUUUACCCGGGAAGAUGAUGACUGUACCGGGAGAAUAAGCCCCGGCUAACUCCGUG
rnacentral:rRNA from 1 species